rnacentral:tRNA from 1 species
GCUGUUAUAGCUCAGUGGUAGAGCACUUCCUUGGUAAGGAAGAGGUCCCGAGUUCAAGUCUCGGUAACAGUU